AUUGAACGCUGGCGGCAUGCCUUACACAUGCAAGUCGAACGGCAGCACGGGUGCUUGCACCUGGUGGCGAGUGGCGAACGGGUGAGUAAUACAUCGGAACGUACCUUAUCGUGGGGGAUAACGCAGCGAAAGUUGCGCUAAUACCGCAUACGCCCUGAGGGGGAAAGCGGGGGACCGUAAGGCCUCGCGCGAUUAGGGCGCCCGAUGUCUGAUUAGCUUGUUGGUGAGGUAAAAGCUAACCAAGGCGAUGAUCAGUAGCUGGUCUGAGAGGACGAUCAGCCACACUGGGACUGAGACACGGCCCAGACUCCUACGGGAGGCAGCAGUGGGGAAUUUUGGACAAUGGGGGCAACCCUGAUCCAGCAAUGCCGCGUGAGUGAAGAAGGCCUUCGGGUUGUAAAGCUCUUUUGUCAGGGAAGAAACAGCAGCUCUAACACAGUCUGCGAAUGACGGUACCUGAAGAAUAAGCACCGGCUAACUACGUGCCAGCAGCCGCCGUAA
rnacentral:rRNA from 1 species